GGGGCGUGAUGCAGGCUGAAGAGAGGAUAAAAGUCAAGGGAGGAUACAGGCCAGGGAGAAUACAGACUGUGGGAAGGUCUGAGGGGCUGAGGAGUGAUACACACUAAAAACAAUACAGGCUGGAGUGGGAUGCUGGAGGAGGCACUGUGGGCAGCUGGGUGCCUGACACGUGGCUAGUUGAAUCUGAGUGCUAAGACAGAACUGCAUGCCCAGGUGUGAUGGCAGCAUUCCACCCAGCCUCGGUAAUCAGGGAGAGUUUCCUGAACAGGAUGGCUAAGGAAAGGCCAAGAACCUCCAGGUGACCUCUACAGCAGUUCAAGUCAUGUUACUAAGAAAUGGCUCAAAGGCAUAGCCAGAUUCUACUACUAAGGAGAGCUGCAAUGUAAAAAAGGUGCCACUUGUGGAUUUUCUGGUCUGAAAAUAUGCUCCUUUUGGGACAGUGAUUUUCCUGUGCUCCCCCUCUAAAUAUAUAACUGUUUUGCUUCAACCAGGGAAGCUAUUAAAAAUACUCAGCAUGGCAAAAGCACUAGCCAAUCAGAAGAGACCUUCAACUGUGCCAGGGUGUAUUAGUCUGUUAGGGUUGCCUAACAAAGUACCAUGAACCAAGUGCCUUAAACAACAGAAAUUAAUAUUCUCAUAGUUGUGGAGUCUAGAAGCCCAAGAUCAAGGUGUCGACAGGGUUGGUUUCAUCCGAGGCCUCUCUUUGUGGCUUGUAGAUGGCCACUUUCUCUCUGUGACUUCACAUGGUCUUCCAUGUCUGUCUGUGUCCCUUUUAUAAGGACACAAGGCAUAUGGGGUUGAAUUUUUAAUUA
rnacentral:lncRNA from 10 species